CUGGCCUUGACAUCCAGAGAACUUUCCAGAGAUGGAUUGGUGCCUUCGGGAACUCUGAGACAGGUGCCGCAUGGCCGUCGUCAGCUCGUGUCGUGAGAUGUUGGGUUAAGUCCCGUAACGAGCGCAACCCCUAUCCCUGGUUGCUAGCAGGUAAUGCUGAGAACUCCAGGGAGACUGCCGGUGACAAACCGGAGGAAGGUGGGGAUGACGUCAGGUCAUCAUGGCCCUUACGGCCAGGGCUACACACGUGCUACAAUGGCGCGUACAGAGGGCUGCCAACUCGCGAGAGUGAGCCAAUCCCUUAAAACGCGUCGUAGUCCGGAUCGGAGUCUGCAACUCGACUCCGUGAAGUCGGAAUCGCUAGUAAUCGCGAAUCAGAAUGUCGCGGUGAAUACGUUCCC
rnacentral:rRNA from 1 species